rnacentral:rRNA from 1 species
CACGCCCCUAUCUGCUAGCAACCUCCUCGCUCCUCCCCAUCCCAUCUACCCGCUGAAAAAAUCGCCACGCCAUCCACGCCGCUCACGAUCCCCGCUGCGGCGCCUGCGUCGAUGGGCUCCCCUCGGUCCUCCUCCACCAAGCACCCGCCCUCCCAUGGUCGUGGUCCAUCCUCUACCAAGCUCUUGAUUGGGAGUCCCACGAGGUUGGGAGUCCCUUGAGGCCUUACCACAACCAUGGAAUCCCUUGCCCUCGCCUGCGUCAAUGGCCCGCCCGUGACCGGACCGAGAGCAUGUUAUCUCGCUGCGCCUCGCGAUCCCCCCACUGCGGCGCCCUGCCCCGUGCUGACGCCGCGGGCGCGGGCGGCUCAGCCCGCCGGGAAGGCGGGCUUUCCCCCCGCCGCGCGGACCGGCGCGCUCAGGUGAAGCUGCUCGCCGGGUUACCCCGGCGCCCGCCUUUCGUCUACCCACCGUGUCGUCGGGUGAUCUCUGUGUGCGCCGUUUAUGCAGGGCCAGCAGGGGAUGCGCCACUCUGCCGCUGUUCCCGCCGUGCCGGAGCCGGUGGAGCGCCGUCGUGUGCAACGCGUCGGUGUACAUCAUCCCGCUCAUGAAGCAGUGUGUCUCCAUCGCGGCCGCGGCGUGAGUGCCUCCCCCAUCUCCUCGUCGAUACCCAAAGAGUGCUCUUGCUUGCUAAAGGCACAGGCAUACACAAAUCUUUCAUCGUGCCAUUGUUUGUUCUGCAAGCACCUAGCACUGUAAUCUCAUGGAUCAAUUAUCCUAUGGUGUCUAUUCCUAAUUUUAGGAGUGAAUAUGGGAUGUGGACUGCUUUUCUUGCGCUUGCAGUGCGUUUGUUCUUACCCUUUCCAGGUGACCUAGAGCUUCCGCAGUCAACAAUGCUGGCGGUCAGCGUUGCUCCUUACCAGGUGAUGAAUGUGAGGUAUGUAACAUGCUCGCCAUUUCGGAAGACAUUAGCUAUACUGCUGCAUAUGUCUUUGAUAAUUCAUCCGCUUGGUCAAUUGUCCACUAAAUGUGAAGUGGCUAAAAAGAAAGGAAAUUAACAUGUAGAAGAAGUUGAAGAACUGUUAAGCAGAGAAUUCAUUGCCUAGCUUAACCAGUGCAACGUGAAUAAGGAUUAAGAGGAUCUAGCUUAAUCCAUGUGUAUGGUAGCAGAUCAUAUACUUUGCUUUUUUCAAUUUUCUAAAUUACAGUUUCACCCCUAGCCUCAUUUGCGGGUAAAAUGUUAUAGUUUGCGCAAGCAACAGAUGUAGAUAAUCUUUUGUAGGGCGUGAGUUACUGGAUAGACAUCUAAUAAAAAGAGGCAUCUUCUUUCGGCUCGAUACAGAAUAUAUCAGUGCUAUUGGGUGCUCUUUGGUACUACAAUUGCCUCACCCACUCUACAAAAACAUGAGUGUAUAUGGUCUUUUGUUCUUCACUAUUACUUUAUUAAGGCUGCAAAUUUGUGAUAUGUACAGAUGAAAACACAUACUGCGACAUAAUUGAUCCAUCUGACGAUUCAGUGUUCCCUGUUCUUUUUGUGUGAACUCCAGCCAGAAAUAUUUAGCCGGGGUAUUUUUUGCCACUUAUUGUCUGUUACGGAGAGUUGGUGUUUCUAGACACAAAAUAUUUUGUUUACUGGUUUAUACCAUGGGUCAGUUCAAUCUCAGGUUAAAUUAGUCAGUGUUGAUCAAUAAUGAAAUGUAGCCAUUGGUUGAUUGAUCAUUGAUGGUACAGAUGUGCAAAGCACCCUAGCCUCAUUUGCGGGUAAAAUGUUAUAGUUUGCGCAAGCAACAGAUGUAGAUAAUCUUUUGUAGGGCGUGAGUUACUGGAUAGACAUCUAAUAAAAAGAGGCAUCUUCUUUCGGCUCGAUACAGAAUAUAUCAGUGCUAUUGGGUGCUCUUUGGUACUACAAUUGCCUCACCCACUCUACAAAAACUUGAGUGUAUAUGGUCUUUUGUUCUUCACUAUUACUUUAAUAAGGCUGCAAAUUUGUGAUAUGUACAGAUGAAAACACAUACUGCGACAUAAUUGACCCAUCUGACGAUUCAGUGUUCCCUGUUCUUUUUGUGUGAACUCCAGCCAGAAAUAUUUAGCCGGGGUAUUUUUUGCCACUUAUUGUCUGUUACGGAGAGUUGGUGUUUCUAGACACAAAAUAUUUUGUUUACUGGUUUAUACCAUGGGUCAGUUCAAUCUCAGGUUAAAUUAGUCAGUGUUGAUCAAUAAUGAAAUGUAGCCAUUGGUUGAUUGAUCAUUGAUGGUACAGAUGUGCAAAGCAACAAUUAUAUACCCCACUGUGUUGGACCCAAAUACCUUCCGAAAAGAAGUUCUGAAGGGUGGGAUACUAGAAAACCUUGUAAUUUCAGCUAUAUCUUUAUUAUAUAAAAUAGGUGGAAUUUUAGGUAUGUUCUGCUAUCNNNNNNNNNNNNNNNNNNNNNNNNNNNNNNNNNNNNNNNNNNNNNNNNNNAAGGUACCUAUUUAUUUUGAGUUUUUUCUGUGUCAAACACAAAGGUUGAAUGUAUGGCUUAGCACUAACUUCAUGUGGGUUUUUCUGCUCAAGUUAUUUCAGUUAUAUGCCUCAGUUAAUACUUCGCAGGAUCUUGAGGAGUUCUUUUGUGUUGUAUUGAUUUGAAGGUGAAGCACAUUCCUCGGAUUUUGCUCUGUUGUCAUAGCACUUUCAGAUUUGAAGUUAUGUUUCCCAAGUAAGAAGUAGUAUCUUUGUGCUUUUAGCAAUGAGAAUAUUUGAGGAACUACCUAUUACAACAUCAUUUUCUAGGAAAAUUAGAUCAUAACAAGAGACGAUGAAUCAUUUAUUUUCUUUGUUGUGGGUAGGGUCAAAUUUUGAAUUACCAAGCUUUUGUAUGAUUUUGAUUGACCAGGCUUGCUUGCUGCUUGCUUGUCAAUCAAGCUAUGUUGGUGGAUUUUAGAGACAAACUUGUCUUAGAAUAAGACUAUCUAGAAGCAGCAAGGCAAAGACAUCCAUUGCAUUACUAACUGGGAUAAUUUUGACUUGUUAGCUACACCCUUUGGAUGGUCCUAAUUGUAGAAAAUUAUUAUAGACAAUCAACCCUUCAAAUUUCACCAUCAUGAAAGAAUCUAAAUAUAGUAUGUUUUCUUCUCUUACUUUUUUAUUAUACUCUUCUACUCUUAUAAUUCAUCAAAUGCUAACUAUUACUGUCACUUUAAUGCUCGGAACCCCUGGUUGAUAAUUUAUAGUGGGUCAGUUCUGUGUUGAUUUCUCUCAUGAUGAUUGAUGCUUUGUUACAUAGAUAGAAAAAAAUUGAGAAAUCAGAUGGAGAAGGAAUGGCACAACCGUGAAAAAUAAGUCAGAUGCUUGUUGAAAGAUAUAUACUGUGAGUUUCAUAUAUUUUGGUUCUAUAAGGAUUCAAUUUUUUAAGGAGGCCGGAGUGGAGAAGUAGAUGUGACAUAGAGAAACAUGACUAUGCAGGGGAAACGGUAAAUCACACUUUGACAAAUGUUUCUAUAGUCAUGUGUUAUUCUGUAGCCACUGAGCAAAUGCAUCGACAUACAUGUGUCAGAGACGCUGUAUGCUCUUUGAUUGUUGAUAAUUUUUUGUUUCUCGUGGACCUUGUUUGACUUUUGGAUGUGGUGUAAAUUCUAUGGGCUAAUAUGUCAAGCUUUCGAUGGUUCACUAUGUACGCUUGUUUGGUGAUUCAAUAUUUGUCAGUGUGGUAAUAAGCCACAUACGACACAAAUUCUUCUAUUUUGCCGAACACAUCCUCUUGAAGUACAAGAUAUUUUUAUAACCAUGUCUACAACUCUUGAUCUCUAUGCCUAAAUUUAUUGUUUGGUGCCAUUGUGACCAAUAUCCCUUAAGCUAUACGAGCUUUGAUUGAGAACAUGGAGAUACAUUUUGUCUUACUCGUGAUGAUAAGUAUGUAUGUCGACUAUUUUAUGGCCGAGUGCUUUUAGCAGUGGGCUUGUUAGGGCAAUGAAGGACGGUUCUGGACCUUCUCCUCAACCAACGUUGACGGAGAGCAAUGAGUUGACUGUGUUUGCUGAUGACGGCGAUAAAACUGGC